rnacentral:rRNA from 1 species
AACGCUAGCUACAGGCUUAACACAUGCAAGUCGAGGGGCAGCAUAGGGUUCCGGCAACGGAAUUCGGAUGGCGACCGGCGCACGGGUGAGUAACACGUAUCCAACCUGCCAGUCACUCCGGGACAGCCUUGCGAAAGCAAGAUUAAUACCGGAUGGUAUUCAACCGCUGCAUGGCGAUUGAAUUAAAGUCGUAAGACGGUGACUGAUGGGGAUGCGUCCCAUUAGCUUGCUGGCGGGGUAACGGCCCACCAAGGCGACGAUGGGUAGGGGUUCUGAGAGGAAGGUCCCCCACAUUGGAACUGAGACACGGUCCAAACUCCUACGGGAGGCAGCAGUGAGGAAUAUUGGUCAAUGGGCGGAAGCCUGAACCAGCCAAGUAGCGUGCAGGAAGACGGCCCUAUGGGUUGUAAACUGCUUUUAAGCGGGGAUAAAGUCAGGGACGUGUCCCUGUUUGCAGGUACCGCUUGAAUAAGGACCGGCUAAUUCCGUGCCAGCAGCCGCGGUAAUACGGAAGGUCCGGGCGUUAUCCGGAUUUAUUGGGUUUAAAGGGAGCGUAGGCGGGACUCCAAGUCAGCUGUGAAAUGCCAUGGCUCAACCAUGGAGCUGCAGUUGAAACUGGUGUUCUUGAGUUGUCGCAGGGGCGGUGGAACUCGUGGUGUAGCGGUGAAAUGCUUAGAUAUCACGAAGAACUCCGAUUG